CUCCUCUUCGUUGUGUAGCCCCCAAAUCGGAACCCUACCGUAGCCGCGACUUCCAAAUCUUCUUUUAAUUAAGAAGCUCUCCUCCGGAUUCAAGCAGUCUGCCCAUGGCGGCGAUGGCGUUCUCUGCUCCGAUAGGCACGGGGAGGCUUGCGUCGUUCAUCGGUGUCGAAUGCAGGUCUGAUGGCGAUUGCACCUGGUUCGAUGGUGAUCUUCUUUACCAUUCUCUUGUUUUCGUUUCCCUUUCUUCCUCUCCUCUUCUUUUCCUAACUCCUAAAUCGGAACCGUCGACUUUCAAAUCCCAAUCCCUCGCCCCGAUCCAAGCAAUCCCACGGGCACGACGAGACCUGCGCUGUCGCUUCUCGGUGGCGGAUUGGAGCAUUGGACAAUCUCCGACAAUUCCUCCUGGUUCGGUGAGGCGUGAGAUCGCAAAGCCGCCGUUAUUUCUAUUAGGAGAUUGUGGUCGUUCAUGAAGGGAGGGACUACCUGAUCAUCCGAUGAUCGUCACACCUGGGGCUCGUCAUGAUCAGGAAGCCGACACAAGCUGCAAACUAUUCAUUGACCAAGAUGAAGGCACUCUCUUCAUUGUGUUUCGUCGAGAGCGAAUUAUGAGCGGGGGCGAAAUGUGGUAUGCGGCCGGAUGUCUGAUACAUCGCUCUGCACAUCUCAUUGCUUUAACAUUCAUUUUACACCCCAUUAGCUCAGCAUGAGGUACCAUUAACACCUAUUAUAAGAGUUUUAAUGCAUUAUACUCAUCCAUUAAAUCAGUCCGUUUCUUAUACGGUAAAUAAUAUACACGCAAAAGUUUCAGGAAUCAUUUACACGCAUGAUCAAACAUCAUAGGUGCAAUUUGUCGAAUUGGACGCAAGAUUAACAGGGAAAAGAUUACAUGCUUAGAAUGCUAGGAUGGUCAAUAUGUUAAUUUGUAAGGUGUUAGGUAAAUAUUCAAUAUGCCGCAAGUUUGGUGUGCUUUUGUUUCGAGAGGAUAGGACAGAUACUUACGGAAAUGGCAUUUCCAUUUAAUUACGUCCUUAUGUGCCAGGAUCUUUUGGGCCAAGCAUCAUAGUGUUGCAGGUCCAUUGAAAUCCCAGUUAUUCUUGGGUCCUAUAUGGCUCCAGGCUUAAUUUGAGAUCUAUGUACCAGCUCCUGUAGGCCUCCUUUCCUUUUCCUAUAUGGCCCUAGGUCUAU